AGAAGUUCCAGGAUGAAGGAUUACAAGAGGUUUGUAAGAAAACUCAAGGGGUACGGUGGUUCAGAAAUGGACAUAACAGCCUAGAGGAAGACCUGGGAGAAGCCCUUGAAUAACCAUUGGUCCAUUGUGCAUCUAGGGUCCUUAACAAAAAGAUAAAAGACAAGUGUAUAAUAUGUUGGAAAAAAAUUUCCCAUUCCCACACAGAAACCUGGCUGUGAUAAAUACCAAGGAAUUCUAUGCCAGUUCACAGCAGUAAGAGUGCAGAAGUGCCAGGGUAUACAAGCAAAUCAUCUAAAGAAGACCAAGAAUCAGAUUGACAUCAAAUUUAUAACAAGAAUCAGAAUGAUAUCAGAUUUCUCAAUAGUAGCAAUGCAUACAAAAAGAUAAUGAAGAAAUAAUUUUAAAGAAGAUAAGUAACACUGAAUUUAUAAUUUUAUAUCCAUCCAAACUGUUAUUCAAAUAAAAGGGAAGAAUAAAAACAUUAUCAGGCAUGAA